GGGCAUGUGGUGUAGUUGGUUAUCACGCUCGCUUAGCACUUGUCAGCGCCUGCGAGAGGGGUCCGGUUCAAUCCCGGACAUGUCCA